ACCACCUGAGUACGUUUUCCCAUUGCUGAGC
rnacentral:piRNA from 1 species